AGCUCCAAUAGCGUAUAUUAAAGUUGUUGCAGUUAUAAAGCUCGUAGUUGGAUUUCUGGCUGACCGCGUAUGGUCCGACGCCCUCAGGGUGUUGUGUACCGUCGCGCGUCUGCCAUCCUUCCGGAAAGCUGUGCCUACCGUCUCGCACGGAAGGGCGCUGCGAUCUGGAUCGUUUACUUUGAAAAAAUUAGAGUGUUCCAAGCAAGCAUCUGCUUGAAUACAUUAGCAUGGAAUAAUAAUAUAGGACUUCUGUUCUAUUUUGUUGGUUUCUAGAACCGAAGUAAUGAUUGAUAGGGAUCGUUGGGGGUGCUAGUAUUCAGCGGCCAGAGGUGAAAUUCUUGGAUUCGCUGAAGACUAACUACUGCGAAAGCAUUCACCAAGGAGGUCUUCUUUA
rnacentral:rRNA from 1 species